rnacentral:rRNA from 1 species
UGCAGUCGAGCGGUAACAGAUCCAGCUUGCUGGAUGCUGACGAGCGGCGGACGGGUGAGUAAUGCAUAGGAAUCUGCCCGAUAGUGGGGGAUAACCUGGGGAAACCCAGGCUAAUACCGCAUACGUCCUACGGGAGAAAGGGGGCUCCGGCUCCCGCUAUGGGAUGAGCCUAUGUCGGAUUAGCUAGUUGGUGAGGUAACGGCUCACCAAGGCCACGAUCCGUAGCUGGUCUGAGAGGAUGAUCAGCCACAUCGGGACUGAGACACGGCCCGAACUCCUACGGGAGGCAGCAGUGGGGAAUAUUGGACAAUGGGGGAAACCCUGAUCCAGCCAUGCCGCGUGUGUGAAGAAGGCCCUCGGGUUGUAAAGCACUUUCAGCGAGGAAGAACGCCUAGCGGUUAAUACCCGCUAGGAAAGACAUCACUCGCAGAAGAAGCACCGGCUAACUCCGUGCCAGCAGCCGCGGUAAUACGGAGGGUGCAAGCGUUAAUCGGAAUUACUGGGCGUAAAGCGCGCGUAGGUGGCUUGAUAAGCCGGUUGUGAAAGCCCCGGGCUCAACCUGGGAACGGCAUCCGGAACUGUCAAGCUAGAGUGCAGGAGAGGAAGGUAGAAUUCCCGGUGUAGCGGUGAAAUGCGUAGAGAUCGGGAGGAAUACCAGUGGCGAAGGCGGCCUUCUGGACUGACACUGACACUGAGGUGCGAAAGCGUGGGUAGCAAACAGGAUUAGAUACCCUGGUAGUCCACGCCGUAAACGAUGUCGACCAGCCGUUGGGUGCCUAGCGCACUUUGUGGCGAAGUUAACGCGAUAAGUCGACCGCCUGGGGAGUACGGCCGCAAGGUUAAAACUCAAAUGAAUUGACGGGGGCCCGCACAAGCGGUGGAGCAUGUGGUUUAAUUCGAUGCAACGCGAAGAACCUUACCUACUCUUGACAUCCUGCGAAUUUGGUAGAGAUACCUUAGUGCCUUCGGGAACGCAGAGACAGGUG